rnacentral:rRNA from 1 species
AGCAGUCGAGAAUCUUCACAAUGGGGGAAACCCUGAUGGAGCGACGCCGCGUGGAGGAUACAGUCUUCGGAUUUUAAACUCCUGUCAUGCAAGAGCAAGGCUGUCAAAAGCUUGAUAGUAUUGCAAGAGGAAGAGGCGGCAAAACUCUGUGCCAGCAGCCGCGGUAAUACAGAGGCCUCAAGCGUUGUUCGGAAUCACUGGGCGUAAAGGGUGCGUAGGCGGUUUGAUAAGUCAAUUUGUUAAAAUCAUGUGCUCAACGCAUGAAUGCAUUUGAUACUAUUAGACUUGAGAUAUUUAGGGGAGACGGGAAUUCACGGUGUAGCAGUGAAAUGCGUAGAUAUCGUGAGGAACACCAAAGGCGUAGGCACGUCUCUACGAAUUUUCUGACGCUGAGGCACGAAGGCUAGGGUAGCAAAUGGGAUUAGAUACCCCGGUAGUCCUAGCAGUAAACGGUGCAUGCUUGGUGUAUGAAUAUUAGACUAUUUAUGUGCCGGA